CAGGGUGACAGGUGGUGCAUGGUUGUCGUCAGCUCGUGUCGUGAGAUGUUGGGUUAAGUCCCGCAACGAGCGCAACCCUCGACCUUAGUUGCCAGCAUUCAGUUGGGCACUCUAAGGUGACUGCCGGCUAAAAAGUCGGAGGAAGGUGGGGAUGACGUCAAAUCAUCAUGCCCCUUAUGACCUGGGCUACACACGUGCUACAAUGGGCGGUACAAAGGGUCGCGAACCCGCGAGGGGGAGCCAAUCCCAAAAAGCCGCUCUCAGUUCGGAUUGCAGGCUGCAACUCGCCUGCAUGAAGCCGGAAUCGCUAGUAAUCGCGGAUCAGCAUGCCGCGGUGAAUACGUUCCCGGGCCUU
rnacentral:rRNA from 1 species